CAGCAAUUUUAAAAAGGAGAACAAAGGAGGAGGAUGACAACACCUCAUAUGAAACUAUAUUAUAAGACCACUGUAAUCAAAACAGUCGGAUACUGGCAUAAA